rnacentral:rRNA from 1 species
ACGGGUGAGUAACGCGUAGACAACCUGCCUUCCAGAUGGGGACAACACCGCGAAAGUGGUGCUAAUACCGAAUGCAGUACUGAGAGCACAUGCUCAUAGUACUAAAGGUGGCCUCUAUUCAUAAGCUACCGCUGGAAGAUGGGUCUGCGUCUGAUUAGCUAGUUGGCGGGGUAGAAGCCCACCAAGGCGACGAUCAGUAGCCGGUCUGAGAGGAUGAACGGCCACACUGGGACUGAGACACGGCCCAGACUCCUACGGGAGGCAGCAGUGGGGAAUCUUCCGCAAUGGACGAAAGUCUGACGGAGCAACGCCGCGUGAGUGAAGAAGGCCUUCGGGUCGUAAAGCUCUGUUAUUAGGGACGAACGUAUCUUGUGUAAAUAAUGCGAGAUAGUGACGGUACCUAAGGAGGAAGCCACGGCUAACUACGUGCCAGCAGCCGCGGUAAUACGUAGGUGGCGAGCGUUGUCCGGAAUUAUUGGGCGUAAAGAGCGUGUAGGUGGGAUAGUUAGUCUCAUUUAAAAGAUCGGGGCUCAACCCCGUUAAGGGUGAGAAACUGCUAUUCUUGAGUGCAGGAGAGGAAAGCGGA